UACGUAGGGUGCGAGCGUUGUCCGAAAUUACUGGGCGUAAAGAGCUCGUAGGUGGUUUGUCGCGUUGUUCGUGAAAACCGGGGGCUUAACCCUCGGCGUGCGGGCGAUACGGGCAGACUGGAGUACUGCAGGGGAGACUGGAAUUCCUGGUGUAGCGGUGGAAUGCGCAGAUAUCAGGAGGAACACCGGUGGCGAAGGCGGGUCUCUGGGCAGUAACUGACGCUGAGGAGCGAAAGCGUGGGGAGCGAACAGG
rnacentral:rRNA from 1 species